UACGUAGGGAGCGAGCGUUGUCCGAAGUUACUGGGCGUAAAGCGUGCGCAGGCGGCGCGUUAAGACAGGUGUGAAAGCCCCGAGCUUAACUUGGGAAUUGCGCUUGUGACUGGCGUGCUGGAGUGUGGCAGAGGGAGGUGGAAUUCCACGUGUAGCAGUGAAAUGCGUAGAGAUGUGGAGGAACACCGAUGGCGAAGGCAGCCUCCUGGGCCAGCACUGACGCUCAUGCACGAAAGCGUGGGGAGCAAACAGG
rnacentral:rRNA from 1 species